CCUACGGGCGGCAGCAGUGAGGAAUAUUGGUCAAUGGGCGCGAGCCUGAACCAGCCAAGUAGCGUGAAGGAUGACUGCCCUACGGGUUGUAAACUUCUUUUAUAAAGGAAUAAAGUGAGGCACGUGUGCCUUUUUUUAUGUACGUUAUGAAUAAGGAUCGGCUAACUUCGUGCCAGCAGCGGCGGUAAUACGGAGGAUCCGAGCGUUAUCCGGAUUUAUUUGGUUUAAAGGGAGAGUAGAUGGGUUGUUAAGUCAGUUGUGAAAGUUUGCGGCUCAACCGUACAAUUGCAAUUGAUACUGGCUGGCUUGAGUACAGAUGAGGAAGGCGGAAUUCGUGGUGUAGCGGUGAAAUGCGUAGAUAUCACGAAGAACUCCGAUUGCGAAGGCAGCUUACUAAACUGCAACUGACGUUGAUGCUCGAAAGUGUGGGUAUCAAACAGGAUUAGAUACCCUAGUAGUC
rnacentral:rRNA from 1 species